UACAGAGGUCUCAAGCGUUGUUCGGAUUCAUUGGGCGUAAAGGGUGCGUAGGUGGCGUCGUAAGUCGGGUGUGAAAUCUCGGGGCUUAACUCCGAAACUGCAUUCGAUACUGCGGUGCUUGAGGACUGGAGAGGAGACUGGAAUUUACGGUGUAGCAGUGAAAUGCGUAGAGAUCGUAAGGAAGACCAGUGGCGAAGGCGGAUCUCUGGACAGUUCCUGACGCUGAGGCGCGAAGGCCAGGGGAGCAAACGGG
rnacentral:rRNA from 1 species